GAUUGUUCACCCACCAAUAGGGAACGUGAGCUGGGUUAAGACCGUCAUGAGACAGGUUAGUUUUACCCUACUGAUGACAGUGUCACAACAGUAAUUCAACCUAGUACGAGAGGAACCGAUGAUUCACACAAUUGGUCAUCGUGCUUUGUUGAAAAGCCAAUGACGCAAAGCUACGGUGCGCUGGAUUAUGACUGAACACCUCUAAGUCCAAAUCCAGGCUAGAAGCGACGAAUACGCACAUCGUCCACUUGCCGACCCGCAGUAGGGGCCGCCUGGUCCCCAAAGGCACAUGUCAUUGGUGAAGCCCACAUGGUGGAUGAGCCGCGUGGGCCGUCUUGAAGUACAAUUCCUAUUUCGAGCGGCAAGUAGAAACCUUUGCAGACAACUUAAAUACGCGACUAGGUAUUGUAAGCGGUAGAGUGGCCUUGCUGCCAUGAUCCACUAAGAU
rnacentral:rRNA from 1 species